rnacentral:rRNA from 1 species
UAUCAAACUCCGAAUGCCGUAAAGAUGCUUAUCGGGAGUCAGACUACACGAGAUAAGUUGGGUGGUACGAAAAGGGAAAGAGCCCACGACCUCCGGCUAACGGUACCCAAAGUGCGUGUUAAGUAGGAAAAGGAUGUGGGAUUUCAAAGACAACCAGGAUGUUGGCUCAGAAGCAGCCAUCCAUUCAAAGAGUGCGUAAUAGCUCACUGGUCGAGAGGUCCUGCGCCGAAAAUGUCCGGGGCUGAAACACGACACCGAAGCCGAGGGAUCCGAAAGGAUCGGUAGAGGAGCAUUGCAUAAGGGAAGAAGCAGUACCGGAAGGAGCUGUGGACUUUAUGGAAGAGAGAAUGCCGGAAUGAGUAGCGAGAGAGAGGUGGGAAUCCUCUCGGCCGAAUAUCCAAGGGUUCCUCCGCCAGGCUCGUCCGCGGAGGGUGAGUCAGGUCCUAAGGCGAGGCAGAAGUGCG